CCUACGGGCGGCAGCAGUGGGGAAUAUUGCACAAUGGGGGGAACCCUGAUGCAGCGACGCCGCGUGGGUGAAGGAGGACUUCGGUACGUAAAGCCCUAUCAGCAGGAAAGAAAAGGACGGUACCUGACUAAGAAGCACCGGCUAACUACGUGCCAGCAGCCGCGGGAAUCCGCAGGGGGCAAGCGUUCUCCGGAGUGACUGGGUGUAAAGGGAGCGUAGCCGGCCGUGCAAGUCCGGAGUGAAAGCCCGGGGCUCAACCCUGGGACUGCGCUGGAAACUGUCAAGCUGGAGUGCGGGAGGGGCAGGCGGAAUUCCUGGUGUAGCGGUGAACUGCGUAGAUAUCAGUCGGACCCCCGGCGGCGACGGCGGCCUGCUGGACCGUACCUGACGUUGAGGCUCGAAAGCGUGGGGAGCAAACAGGAUUAGAUACCCUAGUAGUC
rnacentral:rRNA from 1 species